ensembl:snoRNA
UUAAACUGAUGAUCUCAGAGAACGGUUUCGCAUAUUUGACUGAUGUCGAAUGAUGUCAUGUUUCUCUUGGCUAUCUGAUCCA